CCUACGGGUGGCAGCAGUGAGGAAUAUUGGUCAAUGGGCUUACGCCUGAACCAGCCAAGUCGCGUGAGGGAAGACUGCCCUAUGGGUUGUAAACCUCUUUUGUCAGGGAGCAACGCCGGCUACGUGUAGCCGGACUGAGAGUACCUGAAGAAAAAGCAUCGGCUAACUCCGUGCCAGCAGCCGCGGUAAUACGGAGGAUGCGAUCGUUAUCCGGUUGUAUUGGGUUUAAAGGGUGCGUAGGCGGAAUGCCAAGUCAGCGGUAAAAUCGCGGGGCUCAACCUCGCUCCGCCGGUGAAACUGGCGUGCUUGAGUGGGCGAGAAGUAUGCGGAAUGCGUGGUGUAGCGGUGAAAUGCAGAGAUAUCACGCAGAACUCCGAUUGCGAAGGCAGCAUACCGGCGCCCAACUGACGCUGAAGCACGAAAGCGUGGGUAUCGAACAGGAUUAGAUACCCCAGUAGUC
rnacentral:rRNA from 1 species